rnacentral:rRNA from 1 species
AUAAAAGGUACUCCGGGGAUAACAGGCUGAUACCGCCCAAGAGUUCAUAUCGACGGCGGUGUUUGGCACCUCGAUGUCGGCUCAUCACAUCCUGGGGCUGAAGUAGGUCCCAAGGGUAUGGCUGUUCGCCAUUUAAAGUGGUACGCGAGCUGGGUUUAGAACGUCGUGAGACAGUUCGGUCCCUAUCUGCCGUGGGCGCUGGAGAACUGAGGGGGGCUGCUCCUAGUACGAGAGGACCGGAGUGGACGCAUCACUGGUGUUCGGGUUGUCAUGCCAAUGGCACUGCCCGGUAGCUAAAUGCGGAAGAGAUAAGUGCUGAAAGCAUCUAAGCACGAAACUUGCCCCGAGAUGA